rnacentral:rRNA from 1 species
UGGGGAAUCUUCCGCAAUGGGCGCAAGCCUGACGGAGCAACGCCGCGUGAGUGAAGAAGGCCUUCGGGUCGUAAAGCUCUGUCUUCAGGGAAGAACAACUAGGGUGUGAAUAAUGCCUUAGCCUGACGGUACCUGAGGAGGAAGCUCCGGCUAACUACGUGCC